UUUGUACUCCCUCCGUCCCAAAAUUCUUGUCUUAAAUUUUUCUAAAUUUGGAUGUAUCUAGUUACAUUUUAGUGCUAGAUACAUCUGUAUCUAAACAAAUGUAAGACAAUAAUUUUGGGACGGAGGGAAUACUAC
rfam:Triticum aestivum genome assembly, contig: Triticum_aestivum_CS42_TGACv1_scaffold_477491_6AL